ACUCCUACGGGAGGCAGCAGUAGGGAAUCUUCCACAAUGGGCGCAAGCCUGAUGGAGCAACACCGCGUGAGUGAAGAAGGGUUUCGGCUCGUAAAGCUCUGUUGUUAAAGAAGAACACGUAUGAGAGUAACUGUUCAUACGUUGACGGUAUUUAACCAGAAAGUCACGGCUAACUACGUGCCAGCAGCCGCGGUAAUACGUAGGUGGCAAGCGUUAUCCGGAUUUAUUGGGCGUAAAGAGAGUGCAGGCGGUUUUCUAAGUCUGAUGUGAAAGCCUUCGGCUUGACCGGAGAAGUGCAUCGGAAACUGGAUAACUUGAGUGCAGAAGAGGGUAGUGGAACUCCAUGUGUAGCGGUGGAAUGCAUAGAUAUAUGGAAGAACACCAGUGGCGAAGGCGGCUACCUGGUCUGCAACUGACGCUGAGACUCGAAAGCAUGGGUAGCGAACAGGAUUAGAUACCCUGGUAGGAUAGCG
rnacentral:rRNA from 1 species